UCAACUUACAGACUGGAAACUAAUUAAAUCAGCUCUAGCUCUUAACACUUCUCAUCACAUAAAGCAAAAGGAAGAGUGAGAUUCUGUUGCUGGUGUAUGGCUUCUCUGGUGGUAUAUCAGCUGGCAGAUGAGAGCGGAGCAAAGAGGAACCUGCAAGUCCCUGAUUAGGAUGAAGUGCUUACUUAGAUUGUGAAGUUUACUUUCAGUGGGCCAAAACUUUAAUCCACUGUGAGUGAGCUCCCUUGCAUCAAAAAAAAGAAUCCCCUGCGACUCGAGGAGGCGUAUUUCUUCUGAGCGGCUGGGAACAUGAACCAGUGUCCAUAGCUUCAGUUAGCAGGGCCUGAGGAGGCGGCGGGCAGGGAGAGGCACUGAGGCAGAGAAGAUGGAUGGCUGUGGAGACCGAAGCUGGCACUGUGUGAGAAAAGCAGCUCUCAGGUGCUGCACCUGCCAUCCAUCUCACUUCUGACCAGGCAAGGCAUGAGUGGCACUGUUGUUUCACCUUUUGCAUACUCUUCAUCCACUUAAGGUGCGCAUGCACGCACUUAAAAACACUAACGCACAUGACAAUGCCAGCAAGAGAACUGGCCCCAAUAGUAGACAUCCACACUUUCAAAUACACUCAAUGCGAGCCUUGAUUGCCCUCGGCCUUCUUUAGCCACCUCCUUUUCCUUAUUUAUUGUUUGCACUGCAGUGUUCUUUAGACUUAUAUUGAUUGAUCACAGACACAUGGCCAACAGAGCAACAAUCGAAACAGCGCACAUGCAACGCAAAAGAACAGAGGCUGAGCUUGAUCAAAGACCUAGAAGAUAUCCUCCAGCUCGCCCAGAUGCAUUCCAUCAUCAAAGCUGCUAUCGAGAUGCUACAUAGGGUUUGUAAUUACUUCGCUGAUAUAAUUUGUGUUCCCAUCUUUAGCUUUGUGAGUGCAUCACUGCGGGGCCACAGCACCACAGUGAACCCCAGUGCAAUCGGAAACAGAUGCAAUCGUUAAUUAUGCAGGCAAAUGUCCACCGUUUAGCCAGUCUGAUGGCCAGCCAUCGGCAACGUGCUUAUCGUACUUAUGGAGCAGUUUAGGGAGUUGGGGAGAUGUUCAUGCCAACACUCCUGCCAGAUGGCAGGGACCGCAGCACUAAAAUAGAUGUAAAAGCCCUAUUUGUCACCGAGUUGAAUGAUUAGACCCGUGGUUGAAAAGCUCACUGACGCGGUGUCCUGUAGAUACAGAAACUCACUGUUAAUUUAUUGCCUCAAUGCUACUUU